rnacentral:misc_RNA from 1 species
UAAAAAAAAAAAAAAAACCCUCAAAUAGUUAAUGCACUUUCAUUUUCUUUAUCUCUUUAAUGAAUUAAAUUUGGAAAGCUCUUCUUCAGAUUAGUACAAUAGUUGUACCUACAUUUUUCUGCACCCUAUCGGUUUACGGUUCAGAAUCUGUUAUAAAAAAGUGUUUUUCAGUUUGCAAAAACAAAUCAAUUAUUUACCUUCUUAUUUUAUGAUCAAUGGGUUUAUGUGAACUAAUAUAUGAUUUUCUUUUACUCUUUCUGGAAUACAAAGGAUGAAUCUUAGUCUUAAUAACAUGCACUUUUACUAAAUGACAAAAACAGAGUGUUGCUUAGAUGUAUUUUGCUUGUGUUAAAUUUUAAAUGCAGUUUAUUUCAAUCUUUG